CUACCUUUGACAUGUACGGAAUUCGCCAGAGAUGGCUUAGUGCUCGAAAGAGAACCGUAACACAGGUGCUGCAUGGCUGUCGUCAGCUCGUGUCGUGAGAUGUUGGGUUAAGUCCCGCAACGAGCGCAACCCUUGUCAUUAGUUGCUACAUUUAGUUGGGCACUCUAAUGAGACUGCCGGUGACAAACCGGAGGAAGGUGGGGAUGACGUCAAGUCCUCAUGGCCCUUAUAGGUAGGGCUACACUCGUCAUACAAUGGCUGGUACAAAGGGUU
rnacentral:rRNA from 1 species